GUGCCAGCCGCCGCGGUAAUACGUAGGUGGCAAGCGUUAUCCGGAAUUGUUGGGCGUAAAGCGCGCGUAGGCGGUUUUUUAAGUCUGAUGUGAAAGCCCACGGCUCAACCGUGGAGGGUCAUUGGAAACUGGAAAACUUGAGUGCAGAAGAGGAAAGUGGAAUUCCAUGUGUAGCGGUGAAAUGCGCAGAGACAUGGAGGAACACCAGUGGCGAAGGCGACUUUCUGGUCUGUAACUGACGCUGAUGUGCGAAAGCGUGGGGAUCAAACAGGAUUAGAU
rnacentral:rRNA from 1 species